ACAUUCCUGUUACUUGGGUAUGAGAUUCGUAUAGUGAGGUUAAGCGGUAGAAGAGGAUUAUUUAGUUUGAAUGUUAUGAGGUUGAUGGGUUUUAUUGAACUGUGAUUUGAGGAUUUGGGAUGUUUUGUUCAUGUCGAUAGGUUCCUGUGAUUCCGCUCGUUUUCUCUUGGAUUUCUAUGGUGGAUUCCGGAAAUGUUCGCAGGGAUGUUUGCUCCUCUGGGAUUCACAGGAUUGAGUUGGGUUUUUGUGACGAUAGUUAGGUGACGGAGACAUAUCCUAGGAUGGGCUGGAGGGAAUGCAAACGGGGUAGUCGAGGAGACCUGAUGGAUUCACGGUACCGUCCAGAAGGCUCAGGAGUGCUCUGUAGUUUUUGGUCUGUUGGAAUAAAGUUGUUACUGGUGUACAUGGUCACACGGGUGUUUCAAUUGUUUUUGUAUUUUUGGAUAGUGAUGUUUUCUUUAUGAGGAGUAUAGUAUUUCACUGAGAUGGAUUUGUUCAAUGUCUUUUGUACGCUGGUCGUUAAAAAAAAAUAAUUUGCCUAA